rnacentral:rRNA from 1 species
AUUGAACGCUGGCGGCAUGCCUUACACAUGCAAGUCGAACGGUAACGGGCCUUCGGGUGCCGACGAGUGGCGAACGGGUGCGUAAUACAUCGGAACGUGCCCGAUCGUGGGGGAUAACGAGGCGAAAGCCUUGCUAAUACCGCAUACGAUCUACGGAUGAAAGCAGGGGACCGCAAGGCCUUGCGCGGACGGAGCGGCCGAUGGCAGAUUAGGUAGUUGGUGGGAUAAAAGCUUACCAAGCCGACGAUCUGUAGCUGGUCUGAGAGGAUGAUCAGCCACACUGGGACUGAGACACGGCCCAGACUCCUACGGGAGGCAGCAGUGGGGAAUUUUGGACAAUGGGCGCAAGCCUGAUCCAGCCAUGCCGCGUGCAGGAUGAAGGCCUUCGGGUUGUAAACUGCUUUUGUACGGAACGAAAAGCCUUCUUUUAAUACAGGAGGGUCAUGACGGUACCGGAAGAAUAAGCACCGGCUAACUACGUG